GAUUCCCCCAGUAGCGGCGAGCGAACGGGGAGGAGCCCAGAGCCUGAAUCAGUGUGUGUGUUAGUGGAAGCGUCUGGAAAGGCGCGCGAUACAGGGUGACAGCCCCGUACACAAAAAUGCACAUGCUGUGAGCUCGAUGAGUAGGGCGGGACACGUGGUAUCCUGUCUGAAUAUGGGGGGACCAUCCUCCAAGGCUAAAUACUCCUGACUGACCGAUAGUGAACCAGUACCGUGAGGGAAAGGCGAAAAGAACCCCGGCGAGGGGAGUGAAAAAGAACCUGAAACCGUGUACGUACAAGCAGUGGGAGCACAGAGCAAUCUGUGUGACUGCGUACCUUUUGUAUAAUGGGUCAGCGACUUAUAUUCUGUAGCAAGGUUAACCGAAUAGGGGAGCCGAAGGGAAACCGAGUCUUAACUGGGCGUUAAGUUGCAGGGUAUAGACCCGAAACCCGGUGAUCUAGCCAUGGGCAGGUUGAAGGUUGGGUAACACUAACUGGAGGACCGAACCGACUAAUGUUGAAAAAUUAGCGGAUGACUUGUGGCUGGGGGUGAAAGGCCAAUCAAACCGGGAGAUAGCUGGUUCUCCCCGAAAGCUAUUUAGGUAGCGCCUCGUGAAUUCAUCUCCGGGGGUAGAGCACUGUUUCGGCAAGGGGGUCAUCCCGACUUACCAACCCGAUGCAAACUGCGAAUACCGGAGAAUGUUAUCACGGGAGACACACGGCGGGUGCUAACGUCCGUCGUGAAGAGGGAAACAACCCAGACCGCCAGCUAAGGUCCCAAAGUCAUGGUUAAGUGGGAAACGAUGUGGGAAGGCCCAGACAGCCAGGAUGUUGGCUUAGAAGCAGCCAUCAUUUAAAGAAAGCGUAAUAGCUCACUGGUCGAGUCGGCCUGCGCGGAAGAUGUAACGGGGCUAAACCAUGCACCGAAGCUGCGGCAGCGACGCUUAUGCGUUGUUGGGUAGGGGAGCGUUCUGUAAGCCUGUGAAGGUGUGCUGUGAGGCAUGCUGGAGGUAUCAGAAGUGCGAAUGCUGACAUAAGUAACGAUAAAGCGGGUGAAAAGCCCGCUCGCCGGAAGACCAAGGGUUCCUGUCCAACGUUAAUCGGGGCAGGGUGAGUCGACCCCUAAGGCGAGGCCGAAAGGCGUAGUCGAUGGGAAACAGGUUAAUAUUCCUGUACU
rnacentral:rRNA from 1 species